GUCAGCUCCGCCUCGUCAUAUCUGUUUCACUAAUGAAAAACACUUUUCUUGAAGUAUAUGAAAUAUUUGGCUCUUAUUUCGCUGUAAACCCGUUGUGUGAAUGUAACGUUAAUUAACGCGGUUUGUUGUCAAACCUUUGAGGAUUCUUUCCUGUUAGCGAGUUAGCAUCCGAACGCUAAUCUUAGCUUAGCUUACACUGCACUAGCUUUAUGACUUGGCAGGAGCUGAAAAUAAAAAUAAGACGGAGAUCUACAAAGGUGUGCGUAUGACAGCCCUCUUAGCCCUUUCAGUACAUUUAAAAACCCAUCCGUGCAGCAGGAGGACCGUUUUGACUUGCGCCGGUUUAUGUAACCUAGCCUCCCGUUAUUCAGUGGCUAUGCUAGCGUGAGGCACCAGAAAGACUGCAGCACAUUUUACGGUGGAACGAGAAAAUUCAGACAAGAAGCGGGCGAAGGAGAAGCUGAAAGCGUCGAGGAUAUCGCUGUGUUUGACAGAUGAGGCAUCUAUACGAUCAGUAACUCGAUCAGGAUCGGCUAUCGGACGAUUGUGCUGAAAAGCGAUCGGUUUUGGCCCCAGAACGCUGGUCGGGCCAUCUCUAGAUAAAAAGAAACACCUACGUAAAACAGGUCGUCUUCAGCUGGACUACUUACCAUCCCCCCAUCUAACCUCCAAGGCUUUGGUUAUCGAGCCUUCUCAAGAUUUGCCGCUAGACUCUGGAACUCUCUUACACUACUGGUCAAACAAUCCAAUUCACUCCCCACAUUCAAAUCUAACCUGAAAUCUUAUUUUUCACACUUACCUAUAACCU